AGUGAAUAUGCUUGGCCUAGAAUGGAGAAAUGGUUUUCAGAGAAGUCGUGUAGGUUCUUUGGGACUUUGAAGAGAGGGAGUGGCAUGUGGUCAACGCACUUCCACUGAAGAAGUUGAGUUUUGGUUUGGGGACUUUUUUGCUUUCCUUGUUAAGGGCAACAUAAGCAGCAUUUCAGGGGAUGGGCAGGCGGCUUUCUUCUGCUGGCUGGCUGACAGCGCAGGUGCUGCUGGAGCAGCAGGCACUACAGAGCCAGUGUUCUCCAGUAAGCCCUCUGCCACUGUUCUUUGCUUGUUUCACCCUUGAGGAUGGCCUGCAUGGAGAGACGGGGUUGCAUCAUGUUGUCUAGGCUGGUCUACACUCCUGGACUCAAGCGGUCUUCCCACCUCGGCCUUCUAAACUGUUGGGAUUACAAAUAGAUGAGGUCUUGCUCUGUGGCCCGGCGUGGAGUGCAGUGGUAUGACGAUAGGUCAUUGCAGCCUCAAACUCCUGAGCUCAAGCAAUCCUCCUGCCUUAGCCUCCCAAGUUGUUGGAAUUACAGAGCACACAGCUGUUGCUAAGACCAUGGAGGAAUAUUGACUGUUCAAGGAACCACAAGAACGCAAAGAAGGAGGAACAAAUGGGGGAUGAUGAAAUAAACAGGCAGCAGGUGCACAGACUCCUCGCAAUGCAAGGCCACUGCCAGGGAAUGCUGGAGGGGUGAUGCUAGCAAUUGAAGAUUGUCUCUCCUACCCUCUUCAAUGCCUCUUUCAGCAAUAUGAAGUUAAAACCAGAUUAGUGUUGGGUCUGAAGUUCCAAAUCCUGCUGCCUCUGUGAAGUCUUUCUGCUCAUGCUAGAAGCAAUAUCACCUCUUCUAGAAUUAUAAUAUCAUCCUCUAUGCCACUGAGAGUAUUAGUAAGGCAGUAUUUCUGAAAGAGCACUCCACCACUACCUCUGGGAUUUUCUUGCAAGCUACUGAUACCAUCUUUGCAAGAAUGGAGGCAAACAUUCAGGCUACCAGAAUUUAAUCUCUGUAAUUUCCUUGCCAACAGCCAUAAUAAAUGCUUCUUGUUUUCAGCUUCCAGCUUUUACAACAACGGCU
rnacentral:lncRNA from 10 species